AAUAUUCAGUAUACAGGCAUACAUCGGCUUAAUUCGUUCUCUAUUAUACGUCGGUUUUCAAAAAUAAUAUAUGGAAAAAUAAAAAUCAAGUUAAGUCAUUUUACUCAACUUUACCUCUGUCCGCCACCAAUAUUGGAAUCGUAAAAUCAUUAGGAAAACGUUAAAAGCACA